rnacentral:rRNA from 1 species
AACGAACGCUGGCGGCAGGCCUAAAACAUGCAAGUCGAGCGGGCAUAGCAAUAUGUCAGCGGCGGACGGGUGAAUAACACGUGGGAACAUGCCCUUUGGUACGGAACAACUCAGGGAAACUUGAGCUAAUACCGUAUGUGCCGGUAACGGGAAAGAUUUAUCGCCAAAGGAUUGGCCCGCGUCCGAUUAGCUAGUUGGUGAGGUAACGGCUCACCAAGGCGACGAUCGGUAGCUGGUUUGAGAGAACGAUCAGCCACACUGGGACUGAGACACGGCCCAGACUCCUACGGGAGGCAGCAGUUGGGAAUCUUGGACAAUGGGGGAAACCCGUGAUCCAGCCAUGCCGCGUGAGCGAUGAAGGCCUUCGGUUGUAAGUA